rnacentral:rRNA from 1 species
UACAGAGGGUGCGAGCGUUAAUCGGAAUUACUGGGCGUAAAGGGCGCGUAGGUGGAAGAAUAAGUCAGAUGUGAAAUACCCGAGCUUAACUUGGGGGAGUCGUCUGAUACUGUUUAUCUAGAGUAUUGGAGAGGGAAGUGGAAUUUCCGGUGUAGCGGUGAAAUGCGUAGAUAUCGGAAGGAACACCCGUGGCGAAGGCGACUUCCUGGCCAAAUACUGACACUGAGGCGCGAAAGCGUGGGGAGCAAACAGG